UUUUACUUUAAUCAAAUACAUAAUUAUUAAAAAUUUUAAAUGUUUAUAAAUCCAAAUUAGCUUAAAAGCACUAACACCCUCCCUCUGACUUGUGUUCACUGCGACUACCAUCAUAGGAUACAUCUAAUGUUUAAAUGAUAAUCCAACAUUUGAUCAUUGCCUGUUACUGCAGUAUUGCUCUCAAUUUAUAUCACAUCCAAAUCCAAUUGCCUGGAUGUAGCACAUACAAUUGAACAUAUGAGAAACGACUCUAAUACCGUUGAGAUAAAGUUCAUUGGUGCUUCUUCUUGUGCAUCACCAUUGAGGCAACUGUACAUCUUCUAACAAAGAGGCCUUUGAGACUCUGGAAGGUUUCCAACAUAUGUGUCAUGUACCAUUUUUACAUAGUCAUCAAUUUUAUCAGCCGUCCAAUCAUCAGUUUUUAUGGGACGGAGAAACUUGACUGUUAUAGGCACUGGCCGAACAUGCAAGCUGCCUUUCCUCCAUGCUAGGUGGGUACCUGUCAGGACCAUGGGAACUAUUGGAAGGCGUGUUUGCAAUGCCAAAUGAACAAAACCCUGCAAGGGAAAACACAAAUGAAGAAAAGGGUAAAAUUGCUGAACUGUCAAGUACAAGCAAAAAGAAAGAAAAAAGUCAUCGGGAAGGGAAAUCUACACAUCUGCAUCUCUAGCUUAGGGUGCACAACAGCACAAGGUUUUGAAGAACUACAUCUGAUUGAGGAAGACCACAAAAUGUAAAAGAAUUCCAUACUUAUGGCAAAGUAUCCCAUCCACUUCAUAACUCAGAAAAAUUAAGAUGAUCAUUGGUAAAAGGAAUUUAAAAACAUUUCACAGAAGAUGUCUAGAUCACAUCAUCAUGAAAUGGAACUCGAGGCAUACCACUGGGCAAAAAAUGAAUUCUAACUCAUGAAUGUUUUCUCACAUGUGUUUGAAACACAAAUCAGAUUGAUCUAGUUGUGUGAUAAGUAAAAGUCAUCACUAAAGCAUUCAGUGAGUGAGCAAUAAGAGCUCUCAUAACAAAUUGCUUUGGACAAAAUACUUCUGCAAUUCUACUAUCAUUCUAUAGCAUGAAUGUAUGAUGAUUGUGAGAAUAACAUUUUUUUCAGACAAGGAACUAACAUUUACCUUUUUAAACGAAAGCAAUCGUCCAUUUUUGGACCUGGUGCCUUCAGGAAAAAUGAUUAGCGAUAGGUUGUUUCUGACAACUGCACAAGCUGCCUCUUUCAUUGAUUGAAUUGCAGCAGUUGGGUUAGACCGAUCUAUCCGAAGAUGAUUGGCCAAUACAUAAAGUUGUCCAAAUAGAGGGUACCAGAUUAUCUAAAAAAACAAAAAUUUCAGUCAUCAGUGAAUUUGAAGCUUCUCAAUUAUCUCCUCAAAUGUACUUGAAUUUGCAACAAAUCUAGUCCGGACAGUGCAUUUCUAUUUCCUCAGCUAGAAACCAAGCCAGUUGAUUUCUAGCACACAAAUUGAUAUGGAGUAAAAGAGCUUAUCAAUCUUGAAGUGCCAUCAUUUAUAUUUUGAGGACAUACAGAUCAAUAUUAAACAAGAUAGCCAUCAAAAUAAUAGAAAAAGAACCUCCUUCUUUGCAAUGCCAACUGUGCCUGUGGGGGUCAACCACAUCAUAAGGAAAAUGUCUAUAGGAGAAGCAUGAUUACUGAUAUAAAUCGCCUUCUCAUUUGAGAAUUCGACACCUUCAAUCUUUACAGAAUUCCCUAAGAUCCACAUCUGCAAUCAAAAUUCUGCAUAUCAUUUAAAACAAAUUAAAAGAAAUGCAGGAUGCUAUUUUUAUCUUAUGAUGUUAAUUUUGAGAAACAUAUAACAUCAUAAGAUAAAAAUUUUCCUUCUGUUUUUCUCUAAUCAAUUUUCUCAGCAACCAAGGAAGGAAAGAAAUGAUUGAAAAAGGGAGGAAAUUAAAAAGUUUAGCAAUCUUCUUCUUUCACACUGCUUUAUUUGAAACUUAACCAUUCAUACUAUAAAAGAGAUGCAACUAAUAUGACAAUGUGAUCAAUACCUACUUCCCAAGUAAGCUUGAAAUGAAUCAUAAAUAAAGUUGAAGCAACUCACCAGCAUUCUACCAGUUACAUGUCCAUAAAUGUUUCCCUGCCUAAUCCUCUCAUAUGGCCAUGGCAAGAGCAAGAGCAUGAUUAAAGCCCAUAUAAAUGUUGUAACCAUCAUUGACACAAAACAAACCACAAUCCUUAUAUAAGAUGUCAAUGCAGAAAUCCACCCAUCAUCAACAUAAACAUCAAUCUUAGGCCUUUUUUCCUCUUCUUCACUUUCCCAAAAUUUUAGCAUUUCUUUCACAUUUGGGCUGCAAUUUGUGUUGAGGAAACUCUCCAAAUUCCUAUUCCUCAUAAAAGAACCACCUCCAGUGUUCUCCAUUAGCUAUAAUUGCAACUGAGAUUACCCUGUACAAGAGAAGAGCAAAAGAAAUUGUAAGAUAACUCAGCGAAGCCUUAGUCCCAAACUAGUUAGGAUCAGCUAAGGAUGUAAGAUAACUCAAGUGAAUAAAUUAUAAUCAUGUGUUUAGUUGCUUAAAAACUGCAGGAAAUUGAACUAACUGUAUGAUUAGUUGUCCAAAAGAACUUCAGGUUCUGGGGUUUAAAUUUCAUUUUAUUUUGUACUCUUUGAUUUUUAAGUAGGAUAAAGUUAAAUCUAUUCCCAGCCAAACAAUAUGAGCUCCACUAGAAAAAAACAUAAACAAGGAAAAAAGAAAUUACCUGACCAAAAUUACUAAUCUCCUAACUCUCCUGAAAGCCUUAUCAAACCAUAAACUUUUUGUUUGGUUGCCUAGAAAUAGAAAAUCAAAGAAAACAACAUAAUCCUCCCCUCUUAAAGAAGAGCAAAGAGAAGAAGAAAACUGCGACCUGAACUUCUCCUUCACUCUCGAACAAAACAGACAAACAUUCUACGGCUUACAGCUUAGUUGGAUAUAGCUAUAUGAGACCCCUUUUUUCUCCUUCUUGUGCUUUGCCUGGCAAGUGGGAACCAAACAGACACAGAACAACAAUUUUCACAAAAACCCAGAAAACGUCACUUACCAAAUGUAUUGUUUUCUCGAAAAAGAAUGGGAAAUAAGUAGCAGAAUCUGAUAGUAAAGUUCAAGAAGAUAGGCUAGGCUAGGAUAGGAUGAGACAUGAUAGGAUAUAUCAAGAGAAAUAAAGAAACAUAGAGAAGUCUUGGCAGUCUUCUCUUAAAAAAGAACAAGCAAGAGAAGUCACACAAGGCAAAGAAAGACGAAGACAGAAAAUGCGACGCUAUAGCAUUGAGAGACGGAAAGAUGGAUUACGAGUCUCACACACGGUAUAUACCUGGAUUCUUCCUCUUGCAAUGGCCUAUAGCCAAUAUUAGAAAAAUAUUUUCCACCAUUUUCUUUUAUGUAUGUUUUAACCAGACAAUUCUUUCUCUUCUUUUAUUUUAUUUUUAACAAGUUAUAAAAAUUUAUCAAGAAUGCUUUCUUGGCACACACAAUGGAGCAUAGAUAUCAUUUCAGAUCUUUCUGUUUAAUUUCACCAACCCAGUUAAUGAAAUCAUCAAAGCAAACAACUACAACUUCCUAAAACAAAUCACAA
rnacentral:misc_RNA from 1 species